AGUCACGUGGACAGGCGCACCCAGCGGCGUGACGUCACCAGCAGGGCUUGGGAGACAUGGCGUCGACUUUCAAAGACCUAAGCGGCCGCUGCAUCACCCUCGAACAAAGACACCACUCGCCGCUCUGCCGCGAGUUCACAAUCCUGUCGCCGAAAAUGUCCCUGCGUUCGGUGUUGGGGUGCACGGCCGCCAUCUGGCUGGUCGCUUACGCCAUCUUUAACAGGACGCAGAACACUCUAGUGCUCUCAGCUUCCAUUGUUUUGACUCUCGUUGGGAUGAUGCUGCACCUCCACUUAUUUAAGAUUGAUCAGGAGUCAAUGCUGAUCAUUGGAUCGAUUGGAGUCCAGAUGAACACCGUGUAUGCUUCUGGCAGAGAGAGUGUGAGAUUCAUUGAGAUGAGGAAGGUGAAAGAUAUUGUGAUCAAUGAAGCCAUUUAUAUGCAGAAAGUUAUCUACUACCUGUGCAUUCUGCUGAUAGACCCAGGAAACCCCAGAGGAGUCUCAGAGGUGGUGCCAGUAUUCCAGAGUGCAAAGCCACGUCUGGACUGUUUAUCACAGGUGUACAGAAGCUGCCAGGAAAUCCUGCAACAGACACAGGAGGAACAGUGAACCAACUUCAGUCAAGGAAAGUCCUUGCUGUUUCAGGUGGAGUGUGGAUUGAAUGCUCUUGCUGUUGAAAUGGACCUCAAAGGGCAUUAUUUCCCCUUUAAAAAUAGGUGUCGAAGGUAAUCCCUUGGCCCAUCAAAUGAUCCUUCUAAAACAAGACUGUGGCAGGAAGACUGGGAAGAGGAUAGAGCGCUUUCUGUUCCUUGUCAGCAAAGCCAGGGAAAUGGUCCCACCAGCUCACAAACUCUGGGGCCACUGUCAAGUGGUGUGACUGACCAUUUGAAAAUACAUCUUUGUUGCUGAGCCUAUUCAUAAAGAAAGACGUUGGAGUAGGCACAAAGCUUUGGAUGCAGAACAGUUGAAUGAGCAACACACUGACGGUUCUUUGUCACCCUUGUGGCAUGAGCUUAAAAAAAGACUUGCCUGACCUUGCACUUUGUGCAAGUAUGUGAUCUGUCAGCAUACAAGUGAAGUACUUGUGAAGAGAGGUCACUGUUUUUGUGUAGGAAAUGCAGCAGCAGUUAAGUAUGCAACCAUAUGCUAAUGAUCUGAUCAGUUUUAGCUUAUGCUAAUUUGAAGAAAAAAACAUUAACCUGAACACCGGGGAGAACUGCCUUGCUUUUCUUUGAACUAGGAUCUUUUAUGUCCACCUGAGAGAGACCGGAGCUUCACUAAAUGUCUUAUCCAAUCGCUGAACUGUGGUGGAUAGUCAGCCUCGCAUUUAUGAUCAGGUUUCUGGAUUGGAACUUGAACACACCAUGUACUGACUGGGAAGCUUGGACUGAUGUGUAGCGAGCCACACUUGUGCUGUGAAAGGACCAAUCAAUAAUCAUCUCCAAGAAAGAGAAUCUAUCGAGCCAGCUGCCAUUGACCUUGCAUGAUGUUUUUAGCUGAAUCCCCAUUGUCAACAUGCUGGCUGUUACCGUUGACCGGGAACUUAAUUGCCAUAUAAAUAUUGUAGCUACAAGAGAUUAAAAAUCUUUAUUUUUCAGACAACUCCCUCACCUGAUUCCACAGUCUACGAGAUACAAGUGUGAUGGCGCACUGUCCACUUUCAUGGAAUGAAUGCAGCUCCAAAAAACACUUGAAACUUAACACCAUAUGGGGACAAAUACCCAUUUUUGGAUUCUGGGUUUCCGAUCUUAAAAACAUGUACUGUCCUUGAUGGACACUGGCAGGAGUGUGAACUAAAUUCAAGCCGCCUUGCAACAACUCACGAAGUCUCCAAGAUGGUACCGGAGUAGGACUCCAGAGCUGGAGCUUAUCUACUUAGUCUGUCUUCUCUCUCUUCCCCCCCCCCACCCCCAACCCUUUUUAAUCUCCCUUCCUCUGCAUGGACUCGGACUCCCGGCCUGGUCUAGUUUGGAAGGACUGUACCUUAAAAAAUACAGCACUGAGGUUGCUAGUGAUGAAGGUUUUGAUGAAUAGAGUGUGUACGUUACUUUGCAUGGUUAUGAAUUAAAAUUGUGUGACAGAU